rnacentral:rRNA from 1 species
GAUGAACGCUGGCGGCGUGCCUAAUACAUGCAAGUCGAGCGAACAGACGAGGAGCUUGCUCCUCUGACGUUAGCGGCGGACGGGUGAGUAACACGUGGAUAACCCACCUAUAAGACUGGGAUAACUUCGGGAAACCGGAGCUAAUACCGGAUAAUAUAUUGAACCGCAUGGUUCAAUAGUGAAAGACGGUUUUGCUGUCACUUAUAGAUGGAUCCGCGCCGCAUUAGCUAGUUGGUAAGGUAACGGCUUACCAAGGCAACGAUGCGUAGCCGACCUGAGAGGGUGAUCGGCCACACUGGAACUGAGACACGGUCCAGACUCCUACGGGAGGCAGCAGUAGGGAAUCUUCCGCAAUGGGCGAAAGCCUGACGGAGCAACGCCGCGUGAGUGAUGAAGGUCUUCGGAUCGUAAAACUCUGUUAUUAGGGAAGAACAAAUGUGUAAGUAACCAUGCACGUCUUGACGGUACCUAAUCAGAAAGCCACGGCUAACUACGUG